rnacentral:rRNA from 1 species
UACGUAGGGGGCAAGCGUUGUCCGGAUUUAUUGGGCGUAAAGAGCGUGUAGGCGGCCUGAAAGGUCAGCUGUGAAAACUCGAGGCUCAACCUCGAGACGUCGGUUGAAACCAUCUGGCUGGAGUCCGGAAGAGGAGUGUGGAAUUCCCGGUGUAGCGGUGAAAUGCGCAGAUAUCAGGAAGAACACCCGUGGCUAAGGCGGCUCUCUAGUACGGUACUGACGCUGAGACGCGAAAGCGUGGGGAGCGAACAGG